UACAGAGGUCUCAAGCGUUGUUCGGAUUUAUUGGGCGUAAAGAGCGUGUAGGCGGCCAGGUAGGUCUGGUGUGAAAACUCGAGGCUUAACCUCGAGAUGUCAUCGGAAACCAUCUGGCUAGAGUCCGGAAGAGGAGAGUGGAAUUCCUGGUGCAGAGGUGAAAUUCGUAGAUAUCGAGAGGAACACCGGUGGCGAAGGCGGCCUUCUGGACAGUGACUGACGCUGAGACGCGAAAGCGUGGGGAGCAAACAGG
rnacentral:rRNA from 1 species